rnacentral:rRNA from 1 species
UUAUUUGGAAGUAAAAAUCGUAACAAGGUCUCCGUAGGUGAACCUGCGGAGGGAUCAUUACACAAAUAUGAAGGCGGGCUGGAACCUCUCGGGGUUACAGCCUUGCUGAAUUAUUCACCCUUGUCUUUUGCGUACUUCUUGUUUCCUUGGUGGGUUCGCCCACCACUAGGACAAACAUAAACCUUUUGUAAUUGCAAUCAGCGUCAGUAACAAAUUAAUAAUUACAACUUUCAACAACGGAUCUCUUGGUUCUGGCAUCGAUGAAGAACGCAGCGAAAUGCGAUAAGUAGUGUGAAUUGCAGAAUUCAGUGAAUCAUCGAAUCUUUGAACGCACAUUGCGCCCUUUGGUAUUCCAAAGGGCAUGCCUGUUCGAGCGUCAUUUGUACCCUCAAGCUUUGCUUGGUGUUGGGCGUCUUGUCUCUAGCUUUGCUGGAGACUCGCCUUAAAGUAAUUGGCAGCCGGCCUACUGGUUUCGGAGCGCAGCACAAGUCGCACUCUCUAUCAGCAAAGGUCUAGCAUCCAUUAAGCCUUUUUUUCAACUUUGACCUCGAUCAGUAGGA